UGUCAUUUCCAUGCAAACAAGUCAAAACGCAAAGAACUUCGUCAAGAACUCGACUCAACAUUUCUACCUCGCGUUCUCUCCCAAAAAAAAACUAAACGAAGAAACAAGAGCAAUAAACGAAUCCCUACUUCAGGUUUAUCACCACAUCGUGAUAAUUAUCCAUCAUUCAACAAACCGAAAUUCAUUGCAAUAUCGAAUUCAAGAGCUUGUUCUUGCAUGCAGAUAAAAGGGAUCAAAAAGGAGAAAAGAAACCUACCAGAUUGAAGCUCUGAUGCGGUGGCUCAGGUGGAUUAAUGGCUCUGAGUUAUGGAAAUUUGUAGGGGAAUUAAUUAUGGGUUGUCAAAUGUAAGUCAAAUGUAUUGGUUUUCUAUCAUGAAAUUUGUAGAUUGAAUUGUUUUUGGAGUUAGAAAAUAUGCAGGUGAAUCAUUGUUUCACUCUGUUAUGAAACUUUGCAGCAAAUCACUUAUUCAACUUUGUUAAUGCCAUUGCAAGUGGAAAUGAAUUUUGUAGGGAAGUUAAUGUGAGUUGUUAGGCAAAAAGAAAGUGAAUGAAUUGGUCUGUUGAAAAAUAUGCAGGUGAUUUACAUUGUGAGUUUAUGAAAAAUUGUAGUGAAAUAUAUUGUUCUGUUGAAAAUGUUCAUGCAGGGCUUUAUAUCAUUUUGUGCUGAUGUUAGAAAGGUUUAUGCAAGGAUUUGUUUUUCUGUUGUUCUAUUGUGUAAUUGCAAGUGAAUUAUGUAGGUGAAUAUGAGUUAUUAUCAUGCCUAUUGAUGGAUCUACUUGGACAAUGUUAUUAUUGGUCUGUCAAAAGGGAUGCGUGGAACUGAUUUGGGAUUGGGAUUGGGCUAAUAGAAAUUUUGAAUUUGUGUAUUAAAUAUGUAGUGAAAUUGGAAUGUGUAAUUGGAUUAUGUAUGGAAAAGUCUGAAAUUGAUUUGUAUGAAUUGGAUUGUAUGGAAAGUGAUUAAAUGCCAUGGAAUAUUUGACUUAGAAAUUGAAUUGGAUGUUAUGUGUAUGUA